rnacentral:rRNA from 1 species
UACCGAGGUCCCGAGCGUUGUUCGGAUUUAUUGGGCGUAAAGGGUGCGUAGGCGGCGGAGUAAGUUGGGUGUGAAAUCCCGAGGCUCAACCUCGGAAUUGCAUUCAAUACUGCUUCGCUCGAGUACUGGAGAGGAGGCUGGAAUUUACGGUGUAGCAGUGAAAUGCGUAGAUAUCGUAAGGAAGGCCGGUGGCGAAAGCGAGCCUCUGGACAGUUACUGACGCUGAUGCACGAAGGCCAGGGGAGCAAACGGG